UACGAAGGGGGCGAGCGUUGUUCGGAAUUACUGGGCGUAAAGGGCGCGCAGGUGGCUCUGAAAGUCAGAUGUGAAAGCCCCGGGCUUAACCUGGGAACUGCAUUUGAUACUCUAGAGCUUGAGUACGGGAGAGGAGAGUGGAAUUCCCAGUGUAGAGGUGAAAUUCGUAGAUAUUGGGAAGAACACCGGUGGCGAAGGCGGGUCUCUGGACCGUAACUGACGCUGAGGCGCGAAAGCGUGGGGAGCAAACAGG
rnacentral:rRNA from 1 species